ACAGGGAUUGCCUCAGUAACGGCGAGUGAAGCGGCAACAGCUCAAAUUUGAAAUCUGGCCCCCUCGGGGCCCGAGUUGUAAUUUGGAGAAGAUGCUUCGGGUGCGGCCCCGGUCUAAGUUCCUUGGAACAGGACGUCACAGAGGGUGAGAAUCCCGUACGUGCCCGGUGGUCGCCCCCGUGUGAAGCUCUUUCGACGAGUCGAGUUGUUUGGGAAUGCAGCUCAAAAUGGGUGGUAAAUUUCAUCUAAAGCUAAAUAUUGGCCAGAGACCGAUAGCGCACAAGUAGAGUGAUCGAAAGAUGAAAAGCACUUUGGAAAGAGAGUUAAACAGUACGUGAAAUUGUUGAAAGGGAAGCGCUUGCAACCAGACUUGCGCGCGGCCGAUCAUCCGGUGCUCGCACCGGUGCACUCGACCGCGCGCAGGCCAGCAUCGGUUUGGGCGGCUGGACAAAGGCCGCGGGAACGUGGCUCCCCCCGGGGAGUGUUAUAGCCCGCGGCGCAAUGCAGCCCGCCCGGACCGAGGACCGCGCUCCGGCUAGGAUGCUGGCGUAAUGGUUGUAAGCGAC
rnacentral:rRNA from 1 species